rnacentral:rRNA from 1 species
GGGGGGGGCGGGGGGGGGGGGGGGGGGGGGGGGGGGGGGGGGGGGGGGGGGGAGGGCGGGCGCGGGGGGGGGGGGGGGGGGGGGCGGGUGAGGAGGACAUCGGGCCCUCCGUUGUCGGGGGGGCUAACGUGGGGAAGCGGACGGUAAGACCGCAGUCGACCUGCUGGUGACGGCGCGGUAUCGGCGGACCCUCCGGCCCUGAAACAGCCGCGCUCGGAUUAGCUAGUUGGCGGGGUAAAGGCCCACCAAGGCGACGAUCCGUAGCUGGUCUGACAGGAUGAUCAGCCACACUGGAACUGAGACACGGUCCAGACUCCUACGGGAGGCAGCAGUGGGGAAUAUUGGACAAUGGGCGCAAGCCUGAUCCAGCCAUACCGCGUGGGUGAAGAAGGCCUUCGGGUUGUAAAGCCCUUUUGUUGGGAAAGAAAAGCAGCAGGUUAAUACCCCGCUGUUCUGACGGUACCCAAAGAAUAAGCACCGGCUAACUUCGUG